rnacentral:lncRNA from 1 species
UUGUAUUCGAUCAUAUAUUUAGACUAUAAUUAUUACUACAUAACUUUUUAUUUUUUAUUCUAGUUUAUUUUAUAUGAUAUAGAAUAUCCAAGCACCUAUGUGUAAAUUUAGAUCCAUAUCCCCAUAUUUUCUAUUUAGAAAGUUGACAAGUCAGACAUAGGGAAUGCACCCAUUUCUCACACCCAUAUUCAAGUCCAAGUAACAUAGAUCACCUAAGGGUACAAAGACAUCCAUGAAGAUCCAUCUUCUGAUUUAGGACCUUCUGAGGGAUGUGACUGUGUUUUCAUGCUUUGUGGAUCACUUGCCACAUAAACUGGCAAGAACUUUCCCCUAGUGUGGAUGGAGGUUCUUAUCUCAUUUGGGAAGUACAACUCUUAUCGCUUGCAUCACUUGAGGAGGUUUUAGUGGACAAGCAGCAUGCUAUUUGUCUCAUGAUUCACAGAUUUACUGUAAAUUAUUCCUCUUCCCUUAGGUAAGUCUUAAGCUAUUUAUGCAAGUGAGUGUUAUGUUGAUCAACAUCAGCCCAAAAGAACCUUUAAUGGUUUUGCUAUUUGGUGCGGCCAAUAUGUCAAGUGAAAUUAGAUAUUUGAGUAUUAAGAUUUAAAACAGCCCAUGGGUGUAGUUGAAUUUAGCGUUGAGUAUCUCAACAACAUGUUAGAAAAGAACCCUUGUUGUUGGGUUGCUGGAGGUAAAAAGUCAGUCAGUCCUUUAGUUUUCUGUUUUUAGGCUGUUGAGAAGAAACUGGAUUACUUUUGGAGUCUUGAGGAAUAAAUUUUGAAGCCUUUGAAGAAUAUUGAUUUGUAUAAUUGCGUCAAUGGGCUGAACAUUGAUACAUCUCAUUCACAAUUGGGUCAAAUUCAAAUUUGAUGGUUUCGGUUGAUAAUGGAAAUUCCUAUGGAUUGUGUUAUUGGAGAUUCCAUAUACCAUAAAUCUAAAUUAGUUUGAUGCGAGUUCAACAUCCCUUUUCUCAAACUUGUCUCAUAAGUAAGCAGUUCCACUAUUUCUUCUAGUAGAAGAUUGGUUACUUGUGGCUUAUUGGUUAGUAGGGGCUUCUUGGAGAAUAGCUAAUGUAAUAUCAGAUCGUAAAAAAUUUGUGAACUAUAUGAAUCUAUACUAAUGGUUCUCAUGCCUUUUAGAUAGGGUACUUGUGUGAUUAGUCAUUUGGCUAGAUCUUACUAUAUCUAGAUGAUUUUAUGAAUUGUGCAUAUUUAAUAUGUUGAUGAAAAUUAAUACUGGGAGAAAGAAAUAGAGGAAAACUGUUACGGUCCCUUAAUACGGAUCUAGUUAUGGGUCUAUGUGUUGGGGUAUUUGGUUGGAUGGGUGAAGGUUGUGAAGGAUUUAAGGAUGUUUUCUUUUGGUGACCUGUGUUGGAGAUAAUAUUCAGAUUCGUUAGAGAGAACCUGGACCUCUUGAGUUUAGAGUACUCAAAAGACUUUUUUUGGAAAUUUUUCUUAUCUCUCUUUUUUUGAAUUGUUGCACUUAAAUACAAGAGUAAGACAUAAUCAUCUCCUACAAACAAAAAACUAUUAAGCAACAUGGAGGAACACCCUCUUACCACUAAAGAAAAACAAAAACUAAUUUGCACUAUCUACAUCAUGGGUUGACCACUAAGAACAUGACUAAACCACUAAUUACAUGACUCUUGAAAAAUAGGACAACUAACUUGCAAAAACUAACUAGCAUUAUUUGCUUACAUUACUCCCUCUUCCACUAUGUGGUUGUCCUCAAGUGCAAACUCGGGAAAUUUCUAAAAACUAUUCAGCCAGUAGUUAGUCCGUUGCAACAUCUCCUGGAUUGUCAUCUGCUAAAUCCAGCCAGAAUAAUUUCUUGCACUGAUGUCCUCGAACAAAGGGUUCAUCACAGUUAAAAUAAAGUCCUUUUCUAUCGUCAUUCCUCCAUCUUCUCGUGGUUCAAGUGCUUAAUGAUUCGCGUACCUUUUGCUUCCAUUGUUUGUUGAGAUGAAUGAUUAGUUGAAGGACUUGCAGUAGAUAUGGACCAAUUUUUCCGUUCAUAGAGUCGAGACAUGCUUAUAGCUGAAACCAAGUCUUGGGCUGGUGAAGCUCAACUUCCACUGCAAUGUCUGUAAGGAAACCCAGAGAUUACUGCAACCCAAAAAACUAUGCAGCGGAAAAUAAAAAUCUCUGUUUCCCAUUUCAGGAUCCGAGUGCUUCGUUUAAUUCGAAAGGAAGGAUAAGAGAUUAAUCUUUUAGACUUGAAAAAAGAGACAGUUCCGGACUGAACGGUGCUGCUUUUGAAACAAACACCCUCAAUGGUAUCCACACGAACGUUUCCGUCUGGAGUGCUAGCUCUCUCAACGGAUGGAUACGCUAUGUCCUCUCCAAUCUGCAGCCCAGAAAAACGAUCACACAAAAAAACCUUACUCCCACGAUUCAAAAAAGGUCUUUUAUUUGUUUUUCAGUUUUUUGUGUUCAUCACCAACUAUCACAAUCUCGCAGAUACUCAAAUAUCUAUGUGAUAAGUCCUUUUUGGAAAAGAAAACAGAAAAAUCCUUUAUCUGUAACAGUUACAGAUAGAAUGCAGAUCUUUUAAAUAUUAUUAUCUUAUAAUAAUAAAUAAUUAAUAUUAAUAAUAUUAACAUCUUUAUUAUUAUUAAUUAUACUAAUGGGCUUUUAGCCCAUUAAUAUGACAUAGCAUAUCAACGACGUUCUUUUAUGUGUGACCCAAUAGGCUCACAUUAAUUGGCAAUAGGCUAUUAAUUGGCAAUAGGCUCACAUUAAUUGGCAAUAGGCUCAGUCCUACAAGGCCCAUAAAUCAUAAACGGUCUCUAGCAAGACAUUAUGACUAUCCAAUUAAUAUGAGGAUCCAUAGUCCGAUAAAGCCUAAUAAACACAUGUAUUAAUCCCUUUGUCACACGAUAUCUGGUUUGAACAUAAGUCAUGGUCAAUGGCAAACUUAUAAUGUUCAAACUUAUGAUUUCUCGAUCUCUAAGUAGACUGAUAAAACCAAAUGAUAUUGAUCACACUAUCAAUUCAUUCGAGCACGGCCGUGCAUUUCUCAGUCUGACUUAUCGAGGGGUCUAGAAGAUAUCUCUCUCAAAGAGAGGGACAAAUUCUAUCUUGAUUGUUUAAUUUCCUCUACAUAAUUUCUAUUAUGCUCAAUCAUAACCUUUAUGAUUAUCCGAUUAAAGACAAUAUUUGGUUAUGUCAAAACAUAACAGUUUUUAUGUUGGAAACUAUGACAAUCUCAAGUCAAAGGAUUCAAACAUAACUAUUUUGAGAUUCACUUAUGACAAUAACCCAUGUAGUGAUCUCAAUGUGGGUCCAUGCAAUACUUUAUUUUCUAACAAGUAUCUAUGAUUAUUGAAUUAUAUCAACAUACACAUAAUCAUCUCAUGAUUAUCAAUCAAUAAUCAUACUAGUCAUAUUUUAUUAUUAUCACCAUAAUAAUAAUUAACAUCCCUAGUUAUUUAUGUGAUUAGUCACCAUAAUAAGUAACCAGGGAUGUUAAUUAUUAUUAUGUAACAUGCAAACAAAUAAUAAUGAUAGUAAAAUCUCUUUUAUUAAUAACCAAAAUGACAUACAAAAAGAUCCAAAAUAAUGGCCUAGGACAAAUACACUAACAAUGUAUUCCUGCAACCCACUGAUAUACAACUGUAUUUUCUGGUCUUGGUUGAGGAGGCCGGCUCAUGAGACAAGUUUUUCAAAUUGGGUUUAAUACUCAUCAAUAGUACCCAUUUGUUUCAACUUUGCUAAUUCGCCCAAUUUAUUGCUCCGGUUUGGGGGCCAAAACACAAGUUGCAUUGGUGAGAGAAUUCCUCCCAAGUCAGAUUAGGAACAUCAUGUAACAACUGCAUAUACCACAAUUGAGCAAUUCCCUCUAAGUGAUAGGAGGCUAAGCUCAUCUUUUCUUCCUCGGGUGUUGAUUGAUGGCGGAAAAAAUGUUGACAACGGCUAAGCCAACCCAAAGGGUCUUCUAGCCCAUUAAAGUGAGGGAAGUUAAGUUUUGUGAAUUUUGGCACAAUCGAGUUUCCUCCAGAAUUUUCAGAAACUGUCGCACUAGAAAUUUCCUUAUCUUUUUGUGUUUUCGUUUGACUUUCAACACUUGAAGAAGACAACCCCUUCUUUGUCGAUUCUCAGUCGAGAGACGUGGCGUCCAAUUUGGCAUGAAGUUGUUCAACUUUCUCAUUUCUAGACUAGUUGGCUUACUGCUCGGCUAAGAGUAAGUUGAAGAAUUUGUUAAGUUGUUCUUAAACUAAUUCGCCCAUAACUAUUGGCUCUGAUACCAAUUUGUUAUGUCCCCUAAUACGGAUCUAGUUAUGGGUCUAUGUAUUGGGGUAUUUGGUUGGAUGGGUGAAGGUUAUGAAGGAUUGAGGGUGUUUUCUUUCGGCGAUCUAUGUUGGAGAUAAUAUUCAGAUUCGUUAGAGAGAACUUGGACCUUUUGAGUUUGGAGUACUCAAAGACCUUUUUUUGAAAAUUUUUUCUCAUCCCUCUUUUAUUGAAUUGUUGCACUUAAAUACUAAAGUGAGACAUAAUCAUCUCCUAAAUACAGGAAACCAUUAAGCAACAUGGAGGAUUACCGUCCUACCACUAAGGAAAAAUAAAAAUUAAUUUGCACUACCUACAUCAUGAGUUGACCACUAAGAACAUGGCUAAACCACUAAUUAUAUGACUCUUGAAAUUAAGACAACUAACUUGUAAAAAUUAACUUGAAUUAUUUGCUAACAAAAACAUUGUUGGCUUUUGGUGUAUGGUGUUUACUUUAACUUGCAGUUGGCAAAAUAUUGACGUUGCUUCAGACCUCAUGCUUCAUCUCAUAUAAUUUUGUUUCUUUUUUAUUUUCAUUAAUUGUAUUUAUUGUUUUUGUAGGUCUAUCAUGAUUCACUUCUUGUUUUUCACUUUGAUAAUACCCAAAAGUGCAUUUUUUUAUUUAUUUCAUGAUUACUUCAACUGAAUGUAAAUGCUCAUAUAGUGUG